rnacentral:rRNA from 1 species
UUGAACGCUGGCGGCAGGCCUAACACAUGCAAGUCGAGCGGUAGAGAGAAGCUUGCUUUUCUUGAGAGCGGCGGACGGGUGAGUAAUGCCUAGGAAUCUGCCUAGUGGUGGGGGAUAACGUUCGGAAACGGACGCUAAUACCGCAUACGUCCUACGGGAGAAAGCGGGGGACCUUCGGGCCUCGCGCCAUUAGAUGAGCCUAGGUCGGAUUAGCUAGUUGGUGAGGUAAUGGCUCACCAAGGCGACGAUCCGUAACUGGUCUGAGAGGAUGAUCAGUCACACUGGAACUGAGACACGGUCCAGACUCCUACGGGAGGCAGCAGUGGGGAAUAUUGGACAAUGGGCGAAAGCCUGAUCCAGCCAUGCCGCGUGUGUGAAGAAGGUCUUCGGAUUGUAAAGCACUUUAAGUUGGGAGGAAGGGUAGUAACUUAAUACGUUGCUACUUUGACGUUACCGACAGAAUAAGCASCGGC